GACAGUUUGGGCGAGUGGUCUAAGGCGUUGGCUUCAGGCGUCAGUCCGCAAGGGCGUGAGUUCGAAUCCCACAGCUGUUA
rfam:Perkinsus marinus ATCC 50983 gcontig_1104296618974, whole genome shotgun sequence.